GCGAAAGUGGCGGAACUGGCAGACGCGCCGGAUUUAGGAUCCGGUGGCCGCAAGGCUGUGGGGGUUCAAAUCCCCCCUUUCGCACCA
rnacentral:tRNA from 1 species